AGCAGUGACAGCUAAUUUGAAUCGAAUAUGAUUGGUAUUUGAUUUGAAAAUAAAUCUAAAUCAGAAUCAGAUGAAGGUUAAGGUGGAAGCCCAGGAGGGAUUUAUUAUUGGAAAGAGAGGAAACUUAGUGAUAAAGGAGAGAAGAAACACCCACUGAGCCACCAAUGACUCUAAGGGAGUGGCCCAAUUUAAAGGAUAUUGGGAAGGAGGG